rnacentral:rRNA from 1 species
AGGACGAACGCUGGCGGCGUGCUUAACACAUGCAAGUCGAGCGGAAAGGCCCUUCGGGGUACUCGAGCGGCGAACGGGUGAGUAACACGUGAGCAACCUGCCCUUAGCUCCGGGAUAGCUCCGGGAAACCGGAAUUAAUACCGGAUAUGACCUAGGCCGACAUCGGCUGUGGUGGAAAGUUUUUCGGCUGGGGAUGGACUCGCGGCCUAUCAGCUUGUUGGUGGGGUAAUGGCCUACCAAGGCGACGACGGGUAGCCGGCCUGAGAGGGCGACCGGCCACACUGGGACUGAGACACGGCCCAGACUCCUACGGGAGGCAGCAGUGGGGAAUCUUGCGCAAUGGGCGAAAGCCUGACGCAGCGACGCCGCGUGGGGGAUGAAGGCCUUCGGGUUGUAAACCCUUCAGCAGGGACGAAGCGAAAGUGACGGUACCUGCAGAAGAAGCGCCGGCUAACUACGUGCCAGCAGCCGC